GACAAUAAAAAGGGUCGAAUGUUUAGGUGACUAUAUAUAUAACAUAUUCGGAUAGUGCAAGUUCCUCAGUUUUUAUAUGUAGUAUAUGCUUUCAUAGUUAUAGGCAGUAGCUACUAGCUAGCACUAGACAAUUUUUUUUUUUCAAUAACACGAUCAAGCAAACUAAUAUGUUGAGUUAACUUUUUUUUUUGUUUUCUAGUCGACAACAUGAUGCUGGAUUUGAAUCCGAACGGUGAUAAAAAAGACACAUCGACAGUAUUACUAUACAAAGCACGUUACUAUAUAAUCAGAAUAACACAAACCAUGCAAAAACUUUUAUAAAGAUUUGUUAUCAUCAAAUCGGGAAUUU
rnacentral:lncRNA from 1 species